rnacentral:rRNA from 1 species
AUGCUUGUAGGUACCGAUGUUGAUGAUGUGGACUUCGAUGAUCCGAUAGAGUCCUCCGCUGCGGGCUCUAUCGAUCCUUUUGACUUUGUGUACUCAAACCUCCCAGAUAGCACACACAUAAUGAAGAAAUUCCUGGACUGUGGACACUGCAAGUCCAAGAAGUUUGAGCGCGAGACUCCCAUUUUCUGUUGUCGAAAAGGGCAGAUCGACUUGGUUCAACCAGAACCUAUCCAGAAGCUGAUGAGGUUAUGGUCUAGCGCGGAUGUGGACUCUCGACAUUUCCAGGAGCGCAUCCGCUACUUCAACGGACACUUCACCUUCACCACCCUUGGCGUCAACCUCGACAAAAAUUGCACGAACAUGAGGUCUGGUGUUUACACAUUCCGGGCGAGCGGCAAUCUGUACCAUAACGUACAUUCGUUUGGGCCAGGCUCUCGUCCAGAACAUCUGUAG